AAAAGAAAAGGUUAGGGGGUCUUAAGCAGUGAAACUCUCUGACUUUCAUUUGGUUAAAAAAAUUAGUAAAUAAAUGAAACAAAACUAUUUACAUUUGUCGUCAUUUACUAACCCUGCUGUCAUUCCAACAUAGCAUUAUUUUCUCUUUUUACUAAACAAAAAUGAGGUAAAAGCACCAUAAAAGUAUUAUAAAAUGCUUCUAAAAAUAUCACCCAUAAUCACGUGACACACAUGAAAGUGAAAGUGAAAGUGACAUGACAAACAGCCAAGUAUGGUGACCCAUACUCAGAAUUUGUGCUCUGCAUUUAACCCAUCCAAAGUGCACACACACAGCAGUGAACACACACACACGCCAUGAACACACACCCAGAGCAGUGGGCAGCCAUUUAUGCUGCGGCGCCCAGGCACCUCAGUCGUGGUAUUGCCGGCCAGAGACUCAAACCCACAACCUUAGGGUUAGGAGUCAAACUCUCUAACCAUUAGGCCAUGACAUCCCCCCCCAAAGACAUGAAUGGUCUUUAGCAUCACUAAAUUAUCUAAUUCAACCAAACGCACCACAGGUACCACAAUAAAAUUAGAAUAUCAAUGCAAGAUUAUUUAGAAAGCACAUUUCAUACAGAAAGGAAAUUCAAAGUGCUUUACAUUAAAGGAAUUAUUUAAAUAACCAUAAUCACUACACAAGAAAAUAUAAAAAUAAGAUAAAGUUAAGCAACUUAAAUUUAAUUUCAAUCCUCACAUGUAUGUAAUAUGGGCUAAUUUAUUAUACUUUAUGUUCUUUUUCUGAGCUUUGCAGUAAUAUUCAUGUCUUCAUGUGAUAUGAAUUCACAGCUCAGAGUUCACCGAACUUGAUCUUUGGAAGCGAAAUGUGAAACUUCUUCAAAUGAAUGCAAGUCAAUGGAAGAAGAAAUCCAGAGCAACCAGAAUGAAUCUAAAUUAGAAGUUUUGACUUUCAAAUCACAUCAACUGUAUUUAUUUCUAAAAGAAAGUUUAAAGGUUUGGCAAACGUAAGAUCUCUUUUUAUAAUACUUUAAUUGGUCUUAUAUAACACCGAAUCACUUGUGAUCAAAAGUAACAUAGGACAAGAGAAAGGUAUUUGCUUUGGUCUUUUUGAACUGUCUAGUCUUGAAUUCUUUAGAU
ensembl:lncRNA